AUAGCUCAGUUGGUUAGAGCAGGGGACUCAUAAUCCCUUGGUCGUAGGUUCAAGUCCUACU
rnacentral:tRNA from 1 species